rnacentral:rRNA from 1 species
AGAGUUUGAUCAUGGCUCAGAGCGAACGCUGGCGGCGUGCUUAACACAUGCAAGUCGAACGAGUGUAGCAAUACAUUCGUGGCGAACGGGUGCGUAACACGUGGAUAACCUUCCUUGAGGUGGGGAAUAACCCCGCGAAAGCGGGGCUAAUACCGCAUAACAAAGCGAUGGCACAUGCUGUUGCUUUCAAAGGAGCAAUUCGCCACAAGAGGGAUCCGCGGCCGAUUAGCUAGUUGGUGAGGUAACGGCUCACCAAGGCUAUGAUCGGUAGCCGGACUGAGAGGUUGGCCGGCCACACUGGAACUGAGACACGGUCCAGACUCCUACGGGAGGCAGCAGUGGGGAAUCUUGCACAAUGGGCGAAAGCCUGAUGCAGCAACGCCGCGUGGGGGAUGAAGCUUCUCGGAGUGUAAACCCCUUUCGACCCGGACGAAUGCCCGCAAGGGUUUGACGGUACGGGUAUAAGAAGCCCCGGCUAACUACGUGCCAGCAGCCGCGGUAAUAC